rnacentral:lncRNA from 1 species
AUGAAACAAAACAGGAUAAUAUGUAAGUGUCGUUUUGACGUUGCUAUGAUGUCGAAUACACAGUGGUUGAUGAUGUGCGUUUCAGAACAUUUACCUCGAUGGUACAUUGAUGUUUCAUUUCGUUUUGUCCCAGAACGGACUUCCGUACUAGGGUCGCAAAUGUCCUGGGGACAGACAGGGCAAGAGUCACCAUCCUGCCUGGCUCUCCCCGCUCUGCAGCUGAUGGACAGUGCCAGACAGUCAGCUACAUGGUCUCUGGGAAUGUCAGCACAGAGCUUCUGAUGUCAGUCAAAACCAGCGGGGAGAUGGGAGUGUAUAGAGAGUCUGAUACAUGUACAAGUAAGUACGCUCUGGACUGUAUGUGAGUCCUCCUCUCUUGUUCAAUAAAUAUUGAUUUUGAAGGAGAGCGAUUGUGAAAAUCUACUCAAGACUGUAGGUUUCAUAUAUACAUAUAUAUUUUUUAGAAUUUUCAUGAACGCAUGGCAGAUUUUAAAUUAUAAAUUCACCCAAAAAUGAAAAUUCAGUCAUUAUCAACUCUCCCCCGUGCCGAUGGAAAGUCGGGGCAAGUUACAUAGUCAAGUCAUUUCUGGAGCUUCACAGCAAACCAGUGUUGCAGCAUUUCCUAGUAGAGGGAAACUUGUUUUAAAAUGUAAUAAUGGCUCACAACAUCCAAGUCUCAAGAAGCCCUGAGAUUUAUUUGAAAACACAGUAUUUACACCCUUUCAAAGCCAAAUUAUUCACUAAGUAGCUGCUAAGCUAACACUGUUAACAAGCCCUGUAUAAGCCUGGCUGUGUGCCGAGGGUGUAAAUAUUUGUCUUUCCAAAUCAAUGGGGGAUGUCGGGGCUUCUGAAGACUUAAAUUAUGCCGGUUGAGCUGUAUGGAGCCAUUUUAUAUUUGACUGUUUUUUUCAGUUACUUUUUACAUUUUCAAACAAGUCCCCGGCUUCUUCACUUUAUUAGAAGAAUGCUUCAAGACAAGACGGUGACAUAAUUUGAAUGACAUUAGAGGCUGGAGGCUGUUGAAUUCAACAUCACUUGCACAAUGCAGUCUCACUUAUUACAUUGAUGCAUUACUUCCUCUUGUCAUAACCAGUUUAUGUUAUUUGAUAGGCGCUUUACAGCAACAAAGUUUUGGAAACUCGUAAUAAAUUCUAUGAAAACGAUCCCUGUGUAUGUAAAUUGAACACACUGAGUCACGCUUAACUUUCAUUGUGAUGCGAUGCCCCCAGGAGGUGAAGGAGCUGCAGGAAGUGAAGGAGGUGCAGGAGGGGCAGGAAAUGCAGGUCUGCAGCUGCUACCAGGACCUCUUCUUCUUGGCUUGAUGUUUGCUGUCGCCCGCCUGCUGCCAUCUACAGCUUAUUUAUAGCCUCCCUGUUUAUCAUGAGUGCAGACACAUUGAUCCUGUUAUUGUAAAACUGUGAAUAUGUUUAUGAAAUGUAGCCUGACAAGUGAUACAGUGGUCAUCUGAUUAAUCAUCUGGCCAAUAAUGACUUUCUUUUUCCAGCUUUUGUCAACAAAUAGUGAUCUUGCAUUUUUAAAGUUAACACUUUGGGUAAGAGGCACAAUGUGAGAAUAUCAGUUCAUUUAAAUACAGUGCAAAAUUCAUAGUUCAUACAUUCUUGUCGUAAUAAAAAGCAUAGGUAAUGUAUAAAAUGUACAAACACAGAUUUAUAUUGGAUGUUGAUCAUCGCUGCUCCCUUCAAUUUAGUCAGUGAAGUCAGGUCAUUAGAGUCGAGCAGACAGCAGAAGCACAAUGUUUUUUUCUACUUUGUGACUAAAUGUUAUUUACAGCGAACUGAAGUUGCUGUGCCCACUCACAUGUGGCUUAUUUUGAUAGUCAGAUGGAAAUCCAUCACAUUUAGCACUAAUCAUUUUAUUCAACAAGCUAUUCAUUGAUUGUUAACUUAAGCCUUUAUAGAAAUGAAAUUUUUCUGCAACAAUUAUAGCUCAUUUGUAUUCACUUGGACUGUUACUGUUAGUGGGUGGGUGAAGUUAAUGCUGUACAUUUUCCGAUAUUGAGACUUUAUUUUCUCUAUUUAUGCACUAUCCAUAUUUCCAUGUCAGAUCGUGUGUAAAUAUCUUGAAAUUUGUGAAUAAAAUACAAUAAUGUUUGUACGCCAGUAAU